CUGAUAGUAAGAAAAUCAACAAUACUAUGUCUAUUGCAUUUGCAAAUGCUGCAAGAAUAAAAGCUGAACAAAAGAAAAAGAAAAUACAAUUCCUCUUCCUGUAAUAAGCCUCUUCUUAUUUGCAUUCCUUACCUGCCUGGCUCAUCCUUAAAUACUUCAUUUGGGGCUUGACAGAAGACUGGUGUGGAGCACCAGCUGCAGCCCAUAAACUUAAGUAAGAUGUAAGCCGGCUCCUGCCCAGGAGGGCGUUUCACCAACAGUUAAUACUUUACAGUUUAACUUUGCUAUUGUGUCAGUUACCACUCUUUUGUUGGAGUAUGCAGUGGACAACCUUUGAGUCUUGGGAAGUCUGGCCUUUGGUCUGCCGCUGCAGAUUUUCUUCACUGUUAGGAAUAAGCAGUUCCUGAGACACAAGUGCCUGAGGUAGGACUUCUCUUCUUGUUUUAAAAGAAACAAAAGCAGAUUUGGCAACAGAGCUUCUUUAAAAAAAAAAACUUUGAAACAAAUUUGGAUCUCUAAAACAAAACAAAAGCUAGAGAUCUUCCUAAAAGUCAGCUUAUUACUGCAUUUUUAUUGUUUGUUCUUACUUGCUCUUUGUACGGGA
rnacentral:lncRNA from 1 species